AUUGAACGCUGGCGGCAUGCCUUACACAUGCAAGUCGAUCGGCAGCGGACCUUCGGGUGCCGGCGAGUGGCGAACGGGUGAGUAAAGUAUCGGAACGUACCUUUCAGUGGGGGAUAACUGUCCGAAAGGACAGCUAAUACCGCAUAUUCUGUGAGCAGGAAAGCAGGGGAUCGCAAGACCUUGCGCUGAUUGAGCGGCCGAUAUCAGAUUAGCUAGUUGGUGAGGUAAAGGCUCACCAAGGCGACGAUCUGUAGCGGGUCUGAGAGGAUGAUCCGCCACACUGGAACUGAGACACGGUCCAGACUCCUACGGGAGGCAGCAGUGGGGAAUUUUGGACAAUGGGGGCAACCCUGAUCCAGCCAUGCCGCGUGAGUGAAGAAGGCCUUCGGGUUGUAAACCGCUUUUGUCAGGAGAAAGCGCCAGGUUAAUACCUUGGCGUCAUGACGGUACCUGAAGAAUAAGCACCGGCUAACUACGUGCCAGCAG
rnacentral:rRNA from 1 species